UAGAAGCCGAUGAAGGACGUUACUAACGACGAUAUGCUUUGGGGAGCUGUAAGUAAGCUUUGAUCCAGAGAUUUCCGAAUGGGGAAACCCAGCAUGAGUUAUGUCAUGUUAUCGAUAUGUGAAUACAUAGCAUAUCAGAAGGCACACCCGGAGAACUGAAACAUCUUAGUACCCGGAGGAAGAGAAAGAAAAUUCGAUCCCCUUAGUAGCGGCGAGCGAAACGGGAAGAGCCCAAACCAACAAGCUUGCUUGUUGGGGUUGUAGGACACUCUAUACGGAGUUACAAAGGACGACAUUAGACGAAUCAUCUGGAAAGAUGAAUCAAAGAAGGUAAUAAUCCUGUAGUCGAAAAUGUUGUCUCUCUUGAGUGGAUCCUGAGUACGACGGAGCACGUGAA
rnacentral:rRNA from 1 species